AUUUUUCUUUCUCUCUCACGUCUCUCGUUUUCUUCUCCCUCUUUAUGUUUUCCCUCAUUCACUCUCUUCAUCCCUCCGGAUUUCGUUUUCCUCCAUCAUUUUCCUUUUUCCACAGAUUUUGUUUGUUCAGACUGUUUCCUCCAUAGAAGAAAUGAUAUGCUUGAAAAGAAGGGUCUCAAAUUCCCAUUUUAUUUAAUGAUUGGAAUCACUGUUGUUGGUUUAAUUUUUCAGAUCUGAAUAAUAAUGGUUUUAAUUUUUGUUUUAUGUUGCUUUCUCAAGUAUUUUCUUUGACUCAUUUGUUUUCAAUAAAAUGACAGAAUCUAUUUGUGAGAACAGGAAGAUGAAGAAGGAAAAGUAUGAAGUUUGAGAAAGCGUGUCUGAGGGGAAGGAAAGGAGGAGGACCAACGAAGAAAGCUAUGACCAGAUCCGUCAGAUCCGAACUUCAAUUUCCCGUCGGAAAUAUUGGUCGUUACUUUAAGAAAGGUGGAUAUGCUCAAUAUGUUGGUAUCAAUGCUCCUGUUUACUUAGCUAUUGUUCUCGAAUAUCUUGAUGUUGACGUAAACUCAUAACUCUUUCAUUCUUCUUUUUGAGUUGUAACUUCUGUUAGUUAGGGAUUGAAGAUUACCAGACCUCAUUCACCAAGGAAUCGAAGAGUUGAGAUGACAUGAUUUGGCUUUGCAUUUUUGCUUUCAUAUAUUUUCUCCACAAAGUACUCUUCAUUUAGGUUUUUCAAGCUGAUACGGAUUUAGUUUUUUUACUGGUGCAGGUCCAGUUUGAAUGUGUAUUUGGACUCAUAAGCUCGACUUGUACUAUCUACGUUUUUUCGGUGUAGAUUCAAUUACAGGCAGCGAUGCAGGGCUGAAGUUUGCUUUGAAUGGUUUAAAGUAAUGUGUAUGCCAUGUUUUUACUCGACAUGGUUUUGAAUAAAUUGAACUGAAUGUGAGUAUGGUUGAAUUUGGUUUGAUUUGAUUUUGCAUGUUGGAAGAUAGUUGAAGGAUCCAGUGAGUGUGAGAAGAGAAGAAUUAAACAUAAAUUUAUGUGAAGCGGAUUCAUAAUAAAAUAAUUGUGUGGUAGAUUUUCUCGAUUUUGUCCUGAUGAUGGCAUAGAAGUUGGGAACUCAUACGAAGCAACAAUACUUUCUCUGCAGUUCAUCACUUCAAUGAAAGAUCUUUCAGAGCAAGCAACAUUAAAUUGUCUACAAGACUUCAUUGGUUUUGGUUUUUGCAGUGAAAGAUCGUUUAGAGCAAGAAACAUUAAGGUUUUUGCAGUGAAAGAUUUUUUAGAGCAAGCAACAUUAAAUUGUCUACAGGAAUUAUUAGCAGCUUCAUUCUGUGAAUCAGACGUGAAUCAGACGUGACAAUUAGAGUUUCAAAUGCAGAUUUGAUAACAUCAAAUAAGGAGACUUUGGAUUCCAUAUUGGAACUGCAAGAUGUGUGUUGUGUUAAAACUUGAA